AGAAGGCAACAUAAAGCAGCUGCAAGAAUUAAUUCAUGGAGAUAGUUGACAUUUUCGAGCUGACUGCCUCUUAGAGAAAAUGAUGUCAUUCUCCAGCAGCCUAAUGACAGUCAUCAGCCUGAGAGGACACAUGCUAAUAAGACUAUCACCAGCAAAGAAUUUUCUGAGCAAAUGUGUACUGGAGACCUUCUGAGGAACCCACUAGAGCCUGCACAUCCCCUUUUCCUAGCAAGGUCAACUGGAAAACAGUGUUCUUUCCAAGAUAACGUGCAACUUUCCUUUGGAAUGAUCAGCAGAAUGUCAAAUAAGGAAAGGACAUGUAGAGUUCAUGGGAGGAGACAUUACUUCUGGCUGCAGAAUUAUGGAGGCUUUAUGGGAGACGCCGUAUAUUUUAUCUGUGCGCCUUGAUCACGUGUCUGACCAUGGACAGAGAAACCAGCCUAAUGAGCCUUCUUUACAGGUGACCCUCUAGCCCUUGGUGAACAUCUUGUUUUUAUUCUUUCUUAAUUCCAACACUUAUUCUUGACAACUUUACAAAUGAACAAAUCUUAUUUACUAAAUUGUUGAUGUAGUUUUUGUCUAACACAGGGCUGAUUUUACCCUUGAGAGACGGACACAAGGCUUCAUUUAGGGGAG
rnacentral:lncRNA from 10 species